GACGAACGCUGGCGGCGUGCCUAAUACAUGCAAGUAGAACGCUGAAGGAGGAGCUUGCUUCUCUGGAUGAGUUGCGAACGGGUGAGUAACGCGUAGGUAACCUGCCUGGUAGCGGGGGAUAACUAUUGGAAACGAUAGCUAAUACCGCAUAAGAGUAGAUGUCGCAUGACAUUUGCUUAAAAGGUGCAAUUGCAUCACUACCAGAUGGACCUGCGUUGUAUUAGCUAGUUGGUGAGGUAACGGCUCACCAAGGCAACGAUACAUAGCCGACCUGAGAGGGGGAACGGCCACACUGGGACUGAGACACGGCCCAGACUCCUGCGGGAGGCAGCAGUAGGGAAUCUUCGGCAAUGGACGGAAGUCUGACCGAGCAACGCCGCGUGAGUGAAGAAGGUUUUCGGAUCGAAAAGCUCUGUUGUAAGAGAAGAACGAGUGUGAGAGUGGAAAGUUCACACUGUGACGGUAACUUACCAGAAAGGGACGGCUAACUACGUG
rnacentral:rRNA from 1 species